rnacentral:rRNA from 1 species
GACGAACGCUGGCGGCGUGCUUAACACAUGCAAGUCGAGCGGAAAGGCCCUGCUUUUGUGGGGUGCUCGAGUGGCGAAGGGGUGAGUAACACGUGAGUAACCUGCCCCUGACUUUGGGAUAACUUCAGGAAAAUGGGGCUAUUACCGGAUAGGAUCUCCUGCUGCAUGGUGGGGGUUGGAAAGUUUCGGCGGUUGGGGAUGGACUCGCUGCUUAUCAGCUUGUUGGUGGGGUAGUGGAUUACCAAGGCUUUGACGGGUAGCCGACCUGAGAGGGGGACCGGCCCCACUACGCCUGAGCUACGGCCCAGACUAGACUCGGAGGCAACGGAGGAGAGUAUUACACAGCGGGCGGGAGCAAGGUCUGACGACGCCGCGUGCGGGAAAUCGUGAUUGGGGUAGGAAACCGAUUUCGCCUGAGACGGGGCGUGAGUGACGGUACUGGGUAAAGAAGCACCGGCUAACUACGUG